GACGAACGCUGGCGGCGUGCCUAAUACAUGCAAGUAGAACGCAGUUGCGAACGGGUGAGUAACGCGUAGGUAACUGCCUCAUAGCGGGGGAUAACUAUUGGAAACGAUAGCUAAUACCGGCUUCUGUGAGAUGGACCUGCUUUGUAUGAGCCAGUGGGUGAGGUAAAGGCUCACCAAGGCGACGAUACAUAGCCGACCUGAGAGGGGGAUCAGCCCCACUGGGACUGAGACACGGCCCAGACUCCUACGGGAGGCAGCAAGAGGGAAACUUCGGGAAUGGACGGAAGGCUGACCAAGCAACGCCGCGGGAGUGAAGAAGGUUUUCUGAUCGUAAAGCUCUGUUGUUCGAGAAGCGGUAACUAAAGAGAAAGGGACGGCUAACUACGUGCCAGCAGCCGCGGUAAUAG
rnacentral:rRNA from 1 species